UCCCUGGUGGUCUAGUGGCUAGGAUGUAGCACUCUUGCUGCUGCAGCCUAGGUUCAAUUCCUGGUUGGGGAA
rfam:Pelodiscus sinensis unplaced genomic scaffold scaffold337, whole genome shotgun sequence.